GACAGAGGUGCCGAGCGUUAGGCGGAAUCACUGGGCUUAAAGCGUGUGUAGGCGGCUCUGUAAGUCCCUUGUGAAAUCCCACGGCUCAACCGUGGAACUGCUUGGUAUACUGCGGGUCUUGAGCCACCUAGGGGCAAGUGGAACAAACGGUGGAGCGGUGAAAUGCGUAGAUAUCGUUUGGAACGCCAAUGGUGAAAACAACUUGCUGGGGGUGUGCUGACGCUGAGACACGAAAGCCAGGGGAGCAAACGGG
rnacentral:rRNA from 1 species